UUGACCUCGGAUCAGGUAGGAGUACCCCGCUGAA
rnacentral:rRNA from 1 species